ACAGCAGCCGCCACGGUAAUACGAGGGGUGCAAGCGUUAUUCGGAUUGAUUGGGUGUAAAGGGUGUGCAGACGGCUUAUUAAGUCACUUGUUAAAUUCUUCGGCCUAACUGAAGGUCUGCAAGUGAUACUGAUGAGCUAGAGGGUGGAAGAGAGAAGUGGAAUUCUCGGAGUAGCGGUAAAAUGCGUAGAUCUCGAGAGGAACACCAAUGGCGAAGGCAGCUUCUUGGUCCACUCCUGACGUUCAUACACGAAAGCGUGGGGAGCAAACAGGAUUAGAUACCCCCGUAGUCCCUGUCUCUUAUAC
rnacentral:rRNA from 1 species